rnacentral:tRNA from 1 species
UGAACUGUAGCUCAGUUGUAGAGCACUUGCCUAGCACGUGUGAGGCACUGGGUUCAAUUCUCAGCACUGCAU